GAUGAACGCUGGCGGCGUGCUUAACACAUGCAAGUCGAACGGAAAGGCUCUGACUUUCUGGGGUGCUCGAGUGGCGAACGGGUGAGUAACACGUGGGUAACCUGCCCUUCACUUUGGGAUAAGCUUAGGAAACUGGGGCUAAUACCGGAUAGGAGCUCAUGUUGGAUGGUGGGGGGUGGAGAGUUUCGGCGGGGGGGGAUGGACCCGCGGCUUAUCAGCUUGUUGGUGGGGUAGUGGCCUACCAAGGCUUCGGCGGGUCGCCGGCCUGAGAGGGUGGACGGCCACAUUGGGACUGAGAUACGGCCCAGACUCCUACGGGAGGCAGCAGUGGGGAAUAUUGCACAAUGGGCGCAAGCCUGAUGCAGCGACGCCGCGUGGGGGAUGACGGCCUUCGGGUUGUAAACCGCUUUCGCUUGGGACGAAGCGGAAGUGACGGUACCGGGAGAAGAAGCACCGGCUAACUACGUG
rnacentral:rRNA from 1 species